UAGAGAGGCACGAUGUAAAGUGACUAAAGACUCAGCUCUCAAACUGGGGACAAGUCACUUGAGUUUUCUAGGCCUCAGUGUUUCCUGUCUGUGAGAUAGGGAUAAUAUCAGUACCUAUGACAUAGAGUUAUUGUGAGAAUUAAAAGACAAUGUAUUUGAAGCACUUAACAGAAUAACUGGAAGGUAGUAUAAAUGAAAAUCAAUGAGAGGUUAAAAAAACAACUUGAUAAAAUAUUGCCUGUGCCUACACAUACAAAUUCAGAUGAACAGAUGUCUCAGUAUUUCAUAUUUUUUUUCCUUCUUCAGCUCCAUGACCUCCCUCCCCACAAAAGCCCAUCCUUUCCAUCAACAUGCAAACAAACAAAAUUAUGCCUGAGUUCUUAUUAAACAGUCAGCAUGUUUCUCUAAAUGUAAACUCCUUUUUAUUUAAUUUUAGCAUUGGGGGAAGUGUUGUGAGAAAUGUUCAGAUAACACACUGAACAUAAAAGAAUAGGAAAAUUCACUUUUCUAUUCUUGAAAAGGAAUAGAAACUUGAAAGAAUUGAAAGUUGAAAUUGGUUGAACAGAAUGUAAUUUCAUCAUCAUCAUCAUCAUCGUCAUCAUCAUCAGUUACAGCCAUUUACUGAGAGUCUAUCAUAUAUGGCUGGGGGUCAGGGGAGUGGGAAUGGGCUCAGAGCACAAAGAGAUUUCAGGCCUGGUUUUUAGAGAUGUGUGGAACCUUGCCAGGGAAGUAGUUGAUGUAUCUGCAAUAUUUUCCUUUCUCUUUACUGUCCAAUAAACAGUACUUCAUUUCCCCGGAGGGCUCUGGCUUUACAAUCAACAGCAUUGGAACAAUUUCCACAGCAGCAGUUUUUGAUUUUGAAAGUGGAUCUAGAAGUUUUUCACUGAUUAUUAAAGUGGUUGAUUCUGGAGGACUGUUCACAACUGGAAAUCUAAAGAUUUUUCUCAUCAAUGUAAACAAUAAGGACCCCGUUCUUACCUGCAGAUAAGAUCAUAAAACAUAAUAUUUUAGUUCGAGCUUGAAAAUUGAAUUUGAAAAUGUUUUACAAAUUCAUUAUUAAAUUUUUAUGUUUGCUUUUUUUUUUUGAGAAGGGAAAUAAGCGAGUAAGAUGUAAACAACUACUUUAAGAUGUAAGAUUUUUUAAAGAGGGUUUUCUCAAAAACUGAAAGCAAAAUAAUUUUAGAGUGUAAAGUGUAUUGAAAUUGCAAUAGUAUAAAGCGUUAUUAGUGCAAUAUGUUCUUAGUGUCUGACUUAUGUUGGAUUAUCUCUAUCCUCAAGGGAGAGUCUGGCUAAUAUUAUCAUCAAGGAGUUUAUAAAACCAUAUUGAGGGUCAACAAUGAUUCAGUAUAAGAACCAAUAAGAAGCUGGUUCUUACAGAAGGAUAAGAGCACAGUGAUUAAGCAUACAGGCUCUCUAGAGCCAGAUAGGCCCAAGGUCAACUCCUCUCUCAGCCACCUUGAUAUUUACUUCUGAAAGUUACCUAAGGUCUUACAAUUUCCAUUUCCAUGUCUGUAAAAUGAGGACAAAAAACGGUCCCUACUUCCUAGGGUUGCUGCGAGGAAAUUCAGGAACACUUAAAAAAUGCUUAGGAGUUUGUCUAAACUGUAGGUAAGUGCUCAAUAAAUGGGUUGCUUGUUAAGCUCAUGGUCACAAAUUCCACUCUUAUCAUUGCAAUCUCCGACCUCCUACUCUUUUGCCACCAUAAGGUGAAGAAAAGAAUACAAAGCAAGCAAAUGCCUCUCUCAUAAUUUUUCCUUUUAAAACAAGUUUACUAAAUAUUGAAAAUGCUGUCUCGAGUGUGACUUCCAUAAACUCAACUUGGCACAAUAAAGUUGACAUCACACUGGAUGAAGAAAUUCCAAUUGGGAAAAUGAUUGGAGUGCCAGGCAACAGAUGAAGAUAACCUGGGGGAUUUAACCUUUGAACUAGAUCCACAGAAUGAUUACUUUGCAGUUGACAAAGGUAGGUUGAGA
rnacentral:lncRNA from 1 species